CUCUCUGGGUCUCUCUCUCUCUCUCUCUCUCUCUCUGCCUUUUCUUUUCUUUCUUUUUUUUAGUUUUCGCACGUUAUUUCCGUGCCUGUGGAGGAGCAGUCUCUUGAUCCAAGCAUCGCAAGGUGUGAAAGUGUCGCAUCCACCCACCUGUGGACCUGUGCGGGAUGUACAAUGGGCUUACCUGCUGGACUGCAGCCCUGUAGGCUCUUCUGGCCUCAGGGUGCAGUUGGGCUUGUGCGCGUGCAGUUGGAUCCAUUAUAAUACCAAACAUGGAAAAUAGCUGCAAGACACAAACAGAGGAUUGGUCCUUCUGGAGCAGAGACCGCCUACUUCCUGGUUGCUGUCCCCUGGCAUCUGUGAUUGGUGUGGCUGCGAUUCCACCAAAGCUACCAAUCAGGAGUCUUCAAUCAACCCCAGCUGCACUUAAAUAGCUUGUGUGUCCACAGUUCAGAGCGGCUGUGAACUAGUGAUCAGUUUGCACACCAUUGUGUUAGUCUAGAGUGUUUGUAUUUCCUAGUAUUGCCUGGCUGUUAUCUGAGUGGAUUCAGCCAGUGCCCUCGUAAUCUUGAGACCUUUAAGUUGCAGAAUAACUGCUAGUUUGUUUUUUGUUCACUAGUUUGUAAGCUUAUGGGUGCUGAUCUCUUUUUGUUCUUUAGUGUCAUUCAGUCAUCUUCAUUUUGUGUACUAGUUAUUUGUCAGUACCUGUAUAGCCUCUCUUUUGUUAUAUUUCAUUGUGCAAGCGCACUCUCCUUAGUUAAUGAAACACCUGAUUUUAACCUGAA